AAUCUGGAACUUCAGGUAUUUUAUUUUAUCAAUAAGGCUGAGUGUUUUACUGGUACAAUGUCAACUUCUUCCUUGGGGGGAAUUAAUAAUUAAUGGUCUGUAAUUGAAUUUAUUCUAAUAUUAUACAACUUUUGUGGAGAAAAUGCAGACAAGUGGAGACCUUAAUCUCAUUGGGCAGUUUGGCGUUGGGUUCUACUCUGUUUAUCUUGUCGCUGACUAUGUUGAAGUCAUUAGCAAACAUAAUGAAGAUAAACAGUAUGUUUGGGAAUCACAGGCUGAUGGGGCAUUUGCAAUUUCUAAGGAUACAUGGAAUGAACCACUUGGCUGUGGAUUUGUUAUGUUUGAUUUAUAAUUUUGGAUUUGUUGAUUCUAUAUAUAUUUUUGGUUUUAUGACUUUAAAAUAUUUAGCUAUACAUUGAAGAUUUUUAUUUUGGAUUUAUUGAUUCUAUGUAUAUGUCAUAUUUAUAUAUGGUAAUACAAACGUUUUAUACUAGUAACAAUUAAAGUUGUUAUUCCUUUUCUAUUGAUGCAGGGGAUGAAGAGUUAGUGUGAUGAGAAAAUUGUCUUUUGU